AUUGAACGCUGGCGGCAUGCCCUACACAUGCAAGUCGAACGGCAGCACGGGAGCAAUCGUGGUGGCGAGUGGCGAACGGGUGAGUAAUACAUCGGAACGUGCCCAAUCGUGGGGGAUAACGCAGCGAAAGCUGUGCUAAUACCGCAUACGAUCUACGGAUGAAAGCAGGGGAUCGCAAGACCUUGCGCGAAUGGAGCGGCCGAUGGCAGAUUAGGUAGUUGGUGAGGUAAAGGCUCACCAAGCCGUCGAUCUGUAGCUGGUCUGAGAGGACGACCAGCCACACUGGGACUGAGACACGGCCCAGACUCCUACGGGAGGCAGCAGUGGGGAAUUUUGGACAAUGGGCGAAAGCCUGAUCCAGCCAUGCCGCGUGCAGGAUGAAGGCCUUCGGGUUGUAAACUGCUUUUGUACGGAACGAAACGGCCUUUUCUAAUAAAGAGGGCUAAUGACGGUACCGUAAGAAUAAGCACCGGCUAACUACGUGCCAGCAGCCGCGGUAAUACGUAGGGUGCAAGCGUUAAUCGGAAUUACUGGGCGUAAAGCGUGCGCAGGCGGUUAUGUAAGACAGUUGUGAAAUCCCCGGGCUCAACCUGGGAACUGCAUCUGUGACUGCAUAGCUAGAGUACGGUAGAGGGGGAUGGAAUUCCGCGUGUAGCAGUGGAAUGCGUAGAUAUGCGGAGGAACACCGAUGGCGAAGGCGAUCCCCUGGACCUGUACUGACGCUCAUGCACGAAAGCGUGGGGAGCAAACAGG
rnacentral:rRNA from 1 species